ensembl:lncRNA
UUUACUAUUUAUCCUUUGAGAAAGGAGAUAUCAAUGUGCCAUCACAUUUUUUCAUAUCUUAUACUUUCAUUCCUGAAGAAAAAUCUUUGCACAAGAAACGGUUGCCGUUUUUUAAUUGUUUGUGUGUCAACUUAAUCCAUUUCUAAUCCAUGUGUGUUUUUGAGUGCAUGUCUGUGUGUAGAUUUUAGUUCUCAGACCUGAAUCAGUGUACACAUCUGUGCAGUCAGGACUGAAUGAAUAGAUACUGGCCAACACCACGACAUGGUCACGGGACGCUGAAAUGCAGCCAUGGAACCGCAGUUCCAUGUACAGCUGUUCCUCUUUCAGGAAAACCCACAUCUGCAGUGCAUCAGAGUGCAGGAACUCAUGUCAUACUUUCCUUACAUGGUGACAUCAUUUGUUUAACAACGUUGUGCCAUUGUUUUUAUUUUUUAUGUUAUAGAUUCAUUUAUCCGUGGCCAUACUGAAUGUAACCUAUUGUGUGACAGAUCACUAACUAUGUACGCAAGAAAAGCACUACCAUGUUUAAAUAAAGCCCUACUGCAC